GAUGAACGCUGGCGGCGUGCCUAAUACAUGCAAGUCGAGCGAACAGACGAGGAUCUUGCUCCUUUGACGUUAGCGGCGGACGGGUGAGUAACACGUAGGUAACCUACCUAUAAGACUGGGAUAACUUCGGGAAACCGGAGCUAAUACCGGAUAAUAUUUCGAACCGCAUGGUUCGAUAGUGAAAGAUGGCUUUGCUAUCACUUAUAGAUGGACCUGCGCCGUAUUAGCUAGUUGUUACGGUAACGGCUUACCAAGGCAACGAUACGUAGCCGACCUGAGAGGGUGAUCGGCCACACUGGAACUGAGACACGGUCCAGACUCCUACGGGAGGCAGCAGUAGGGAAUCUUCCGCAAUGGGCGAAAGCCUGACGGAGCAACGCCGCGUGAGUGAUGAAGGUCUUCGGAUCGUAAAACUCUGUUAUUAGGGAAGAACAAACGUGUAAGUAACUGUGCACGUCUUGACGGUACCUAAUCAGAAAGCCACGGCUAACUACGUG
rnacentral:rRNA from 1 species